rnacentral:piRNA from 1 species
UAAGGCUCAGAGGAAUCAGCUUGGCUGGUGU